rnacentral:rRNA from 1 species
GAUGAACGCUGGCGGCGUGCCUAAUACAUGCAAGUCGAGCGAACAGACGAGGAGCUUGCUCCUCUGACGUUAGCGGCGGACGGGUGAGUAACACGUGGAUAACCUACCUAUAAGACUGGGAUAACUUCGGGAAACCGGAGCUAAUACCGGAUAAUAUAUUGAACCGCAUGGUUCAAUAGUGAAAGACGGUUUUGCUGUCACUUCUAGAUGGAUCCGCGCCGCAUUAGCUAGUUGGUAAGGUCACGGCUUACCAAGGCAACGAUGCGUAGCCGACCUGAGAGAGUGAUCGGCCACACUGGAACUGAGACACGGUCCAGACUCCUACGGGAGGCAGCAGUAGGGAAUCUUCCGCAAUGGGCGAAAGCCUGACGGAGCAACGCCGCGUGAGUGAUGAAGGUCUUCGGAUCGUAAAACUCUGUUAUUAGGGAAGAACAAAUGUGUAAGUAACUAUGCACGUCUUGACGGUACCUAAUCAGAAAGCCACGGCUAACUACGUG